rnacentral:rRNA from 1 species
CCUACGGGUGGCAGCAGUGAGGAAUAUUGGUCAAUGGACGGAAGUCUGAACCAGCCAUGCCGCGUGCAGGAAGACGGCUCUAUGAGUUGUAAACUGCUUUUGUACAAGGGUAAACCUGAAUACGUGUAUUCAGCUGAAAGUACUGUACGAAUAAGGAUCGGCUAACUCCGUGCCAGCAGUCGCGGUAAUACGGAGGAUCCAAGCGUUAUCCGGAUUUAUUGGGUUUAAAGGGUGCGUAGACGGAUUGAUAAGUUAGAUGUGAAAUGUUCGGGCUUAACUCGGGAACUGCCUCUAAUACUGUUGGUCUAGAGAGUAGAUGCGGUAGGCGGAAUGUAUGGUGUAGCGGUGAAAUGCUUAGAGAUCAUACAGAACACCGAUUGCGAAGGCAGCUUACCAAUCUAUAUCUGACGUUGAGGCACGAAAGCGUGGGGAGCAAACAGGAUUAGAUACCCCAGUAGUC